rnacentral:rRNA from 1 species
CCUACGGGUGGCUGCAGUGGGGAAUAUUGGACAAUGGGCGCAAGCCUGAUCCAGCAAUGCCGCGUGUGUGAAGAAGGCCUGCGGGUUGUAAAGCACUUUAAGCCGGAAAGAAGGCUGCAAGGCUAAUAUCCUUGUAGAUUGACGUUACCGGCAGAAUAAGCACCGGCUAACUCCGUGCCAGCAGCCGCGGUAAUACGGAGGGUGCGAGCGUUAAUAGGACUUACGGGGGCGAAUGGGCGCGUCCGCGGUUAAAGCCCUGGGCUUAACCUGGGAACGGUAGUGGAAACUGGCGGGCUAGAGUAUGGUAGAGGAGAGUGGAAUUUCCGGUGUAGCAGUGAAAUGCGUAGAGAUCGGAAGGAACACCAGUGGCGAAGGCGGCUCUCUGGACCAAUACUGACGCUGAGGUGCGAAAGCGUGGGGAGCAAACAGGAUUAGAUACCCGAGUAGUC